rnacentral:misc_RNA from 1 species
GAUGAAGAACGUAGCGAAAUGCGAUACUUGGUGUGAAUUGCAGAAUCCCGUGAACCAUCGAGUCUUUGAACGCAAGUUGCGCCCGAAGCCACUAGGCCGAGGGCACGCCUGCCUGGGCGUCACACGUCGUUGCCCCCCCAUCUACUCCUUCGGGAUUGCGGGGGGGCGGAUGAUGGCCUCCCGUGCGCCUAGCCGCGCGGUUGGCAUAAAUACCAAGUCCUCGGCGACGCACGCCACGACAAUCGGGGGUUGCGAAACCUCGGUUGCCCGUCGUGUGCGUUCGUCGCGCAUCGAGGGCUCGAAAAAAUGCUCGGCUCCGGCUGGGCUUUCAACGCGACCCCAGGUCAGGCGGGGUUACCCGCUGAAUUUAAGCAUAUCAAUAAGCGGAGGA